AUACGGAGGGUCCAAGCGUUAUCCGGAUUCAUUGGGUUUAUAGGGUCCGCAGGCGGGAAAAUAAGUCAGUGGUGAAAGCCUACAGCUCAACUGUAGAACUGCCAUUGAAACUGUUUUUCUUGAGUAUAGAUGAAGUGGGCGGAAUAUAUCACGUAGCGGUGAAAUGCAUAGAUAUGAUAUAGAACACCGAUUGCGAAGGCAGCUCACUAAACUAUUACUGACGCUCAGGGACGAAAGCGUGGGGAGCGAACAGGAUUAGAAACCCUAGUAGUCC
rnacentral:rRNA from 1 species